UUUUUUUUUUUUUUUUUUUUGGUCUUUUUAGGGUCUCACUGUUGGCAUACGGAGGUUUCUAGGCUAGGAAUCCAGUCGGAGCUAUAGCUGCCAGCCUACGCCACAGCCACAGCAAUGCCAGAUCCGAGCCUCGUCUGUGACCUACACCAUAGCUCACGGCCACGCCGGAUCCUUAACCCACUGAGCGAGGCCAGGGAUUGAACCUGCAACCUCAUGGUUCCUAGUCGGAGUAGUUUCUGCUGCGCCACAGUGGGAACGCCCCUUUUUUCUUUGUUUUUUAAAUUCUGUCUUGGAAUCAUUAUUGCAUGGUUUUUGUGUGUGCUUUGUCUCCCUUCAUGCUUGUAGAGGUGCUGUGAGAUAGCGUUGUAUAGAAGCAGCGGUGCAUGGCUGUUGCUCUGCGUAGAUGGAGGCCGGGCAAGACCUGUGUGCUCUCUGUUCCACAAUGGCUGCUUCCUGCCUGCCUGUCCCGGGGCAGAGUGGGGGGUGUGUGUGUGGGUAAGUGGGUGCUCUGUGAUCUGGAGGAGGCAGAGAUAAGGGAAAGGGACAAUGGAGAAUAAGAAGCUUGGGGCUCUGAGGAGCUGCGGCCUAGGACGGGUGCGCUGCGGCAGGUGGCUGAGGUCUGGCCUUGAGUGAACUUUUUGCAUCGGAACAAAUAUAUUUGGUCAACUAAGCCCUAGUUCUGCCUUUAAUUCUUGAAUUAGAGGUCAGGCAUUCAUUUUUAAUAGUGUAUGGAAAUUCUGAUAAUGGGAAUAGAUUUCUUUCCUUUUAGUUUUCAAGAAGGAACUGAAAAACUGGAUUACACCCUGAUACUUCUGUAGGGUUGUACAAAAUAAGACAGAAUCUGGAUUCAUUUUGUGAUGGUGACUUUACCGAGGUAGAUAUUAUUAUUCUCCAUCAGAAUAUCUAGAAAUACUCUUCCAUUCUCAUUUUUGUCCUCUUAAACUGCUGGAGUGUGCAGAUAAGACAUUUCACAGGAUUGAGAUUUCCUUUGCUCACUUUGCUAAGCCCUGUGUUCUCUGGCUCUUGCAUGCCUGAUUUUUGCUGAUUGCAGGGUCUUAAUAAUGUUUUAAAUUUUCUUCUUUGUCCAAGGGUAUAACUUUACUGUGGAGGGCAAAAUCAUGAUUCUCCAUGGUCUAGGGCUUUUAGGCACUUCUAAACUCCUAAUUUUCAUUUAUGUGGCUUAGUUUCUCCAUUAGACCAUACCAUUAGGGAGUUGUCAUACAGGAGAAAAAGGCGGCUUGACCUUACGGCAGAAACAUCUAAAUGUUUGACAGAUAAAUUUUUUUGGAAAGAAAGUGUGUUUUAGAUAGAGCAUCUAAGCUUUCAGUGCAUUGUAGGGAGAAAGUCCUCUUGAGGCUUCACCCAGUGGUACCAAAGCUGAGACCUCAUGGAGGGUGGCUCUAGGCUCAGUGAAGAGUAGAUUAGAUAAUUGCUUUUGCCCAGUCAACUCAGGCUUUUUUCUGUCUUUGAAUAAAAUAAGCACCAUUCCCUGACUGCUCUAGGAACCAAAUAAAACUUUCAAAAGAGCUGGUUUAGUAGAAAUAAUGUUUACUUUUCAUAGAUUUGUGUGUAUGUUUUUUAAAAAUUCAGUAAAUGGACACAAGACCGUUUGCUAAAAAGCUUGUAUCCAGAAAGGUGAUUUAGAAUUUUUUGUUCAUUUAUCAAAUACCUGAGUACCUCCCCUGUGUCCUGUGUUCUCACCAGACUCUAUGGGAGACUUGCAGAUGCAUCAUCGGAUGUUGACCCUGGUGACGUGGAGCUUGUCCCUCAGUGGGGAGGCAGAUGCUUGGGGCAGGAGGUCAGGUGCGAUCCAGUGUGGAGGAGAGAGCAGUGACCUCUCUCUGAAGGGGAGGGAAUUAGACAGGGUUGCAUGGAGAAGGAGGCAUUCGAUCUGAAUAUUGAAGUAAAGUCGUUUGGUGGGAAAUGAGCUUUUUCCGUAGGUUUUCUAGCACAGGAGUUACGUGGUUACAGUUGUGCUUUAAGAAAACUAUUUCUGGGAUGUGAUCAAAGAUAGAGACCAGAGACUGAGAGGAACCAAUGCAAAACUAACCUUUCUAAGUGGUAGUGGAAACAGAGGUAGAGUUCAUUGAACUUGGCAGUUGGAGCAAUGCAUGGUAUCAAAUGAGGUUUUGUUUUUUUUUUUUUUAAGCCUCAAUAGGUAAUUAGGAGUAUGGCAAUGCCAUUAAAAUUUGGAAACACAGGAGGAGAAACUGAUUAGUAAGAAGAGAGUAGUAAAUAUAAUCUGCCAUUGAGAAAUUGGGUGAUUUUUUUUGUUGUCGUUAGGCCAAUGGGAAUAUUUAAAUAGACCUGGGAAGAAGCCAGGGUUGAAGAUAGGGAUAUUGAGAGUUGGGGCAGUUGGAGCCUUGAGAUGGAAUGAAAUUGCCAAAGUAUUUAGUAUCAAAUGUAUCUUUACCAAGAAUGUCACGUUGCAAAACCUGAAAAUCCUCUAGUUUUAGGACAGGAGUGCUCCAGAAGAGAGAGAGUAUUGUUUAAAGAACUCAAAUCAUUCUUUGAGCUUUUAUUUCUCUCUGGAAUUCUUUCAGUUUGACUCUCAUCUUGGGGAGAUAGUAAAAGCUAGUAGCUUUAAGCGUGCAAACGGAAAGAUAGGGUUUGAAUCCUUGUUCUGCCACCUACCUGCCAUGUAUCCUUGUCAGAGCUAUAGAUCUUCUUGUGCUUCAGUUUAUUCAUCUCUAAGAUGAAGGUGAUAAUGUGUACCUUAUAGGGUUGUUUCUGGAUUAUCCCAUCAUUUAGCCUGCUGCUUGGAGCAUACUAGGUGCUCCAUAAAUGGUAGCUAAUGUUAAUACUAGAUUCUUGCUGAUUCCCCUGCUUCUGAUCUUAAAGGGUACACUACUCCUUUUAACUCUGAAUUUGUACAGGCUUCCCCCUCCCAUUUUUUUCCACUCAGUACAGACAGACAGACAGACAGACAGACAGACAGACACACACACACACACACACACACACACACACACGGAGUUCCCUGGUGGCUCGGGUUAAGGAUCUGGCGUUGUCACUGCUGUGACUCAGGUUGCUGUUAUGGUGC
rnacentral:lncRNA from 1 species